UACGGAGGGUGCGAGCGUUAAUCGGAAUUACUGGGCGUAAAGCGCGCGUAGGUGGUCAAGCCAGUCGGAUGUGAAAGCCCCGGGCUCAACCUGGGAAUGGCAUUCGAUACUACUUGGCUAGAGUCUGGUAGAGGAAAGCGGAAUUCCCGGUGUAGCGGUGAAAUGCGUAGAUAUCGGGAAGAACACCAGUGGCGAAGGCGGCUUUCUGGACUAAGACUGACACUGAGGCGCGAAAGCGUGGGUAGCAAACAGG
rnacentral:rRNA from 1 species